rnacentral:rRNA from 1 species
CCUACGGGAGGCAGCAGUGAGGAAUAUUGGUCAAUGGGCGCGAGCCUGAACCAGCCAAGUAGCGUGAAGGAUGACUGCCCUACGGGUUGUAAACUUCUUUUAUACAGGGAUAAAGUGAGGCACGUGUGACUUUUUGUAUGUACUUUAUGAAUAAGGACCGGCUAACUCCGUGCCAGCAGCCGUGGUAAUACGGAGGAUCCGAGCGUUAUCCGGAUUUAUUGGGUUUAAAGGGAGCGUAGAUGGGUUGUUAAGUCAGUUGUGAAAGUUUGCGGCUCAACCGUAGAAUUGCAAUGGAUACUGGCAGCCUUGAGUACAGUUGAGGUAGGCGGAAUUCGUGGUGUAGCGGUGAAAUGCUUAGAUAUCACGAAGAACUCCGAUUGCGAAGGCAGCCUACUAAACUGCCACUGACGUUGAUGCUCGAAAGUGUGGGUAUCAAACAGGAUUAGAUACCCUUGUAGUC